GACGAACGCUGGCGGCGUGCUUAACACAUGCAAGUCGAACGAUGACGACCGAGCUUGCUCGGUCUGAUUAGUGGCGAACGGGUGAGUAACACGUGAGCAACCUGCCCUUCACUCUGGGAUAACCUCGGGAAAUCGGGGCUAAUACCGGAUAUGAGCUCCUGUCGCAUGGCGGGUGUUGGAAAGUGUUUCGGUGAAGGAUGGGCUCGCGGCCUAUCAGUUUGUUGGUGGGGUGGUGGCUCACCAAGGCGAUGACGGGUAGCCGGCCUGAGAGGGCGACCGGCCACACUGGGACUGAGACACGGCCCAGACUCCUACGGGAGGCAGCAGUGGGGAAUAUUGCACAAUGGGCGAAAGCCUGAUGCAGCGACGCCGCGUGAGGGAUGACGGCCUUCGGGUUGUAAACCUCUUUCAGCAGGGAAGAAGCGAAAGUGACGGUACCUGCAGAAGAAGCGCCGGCUAACUACGUG
rnacentral:rRNA from 1 species